AUCACGACCUGAGCCGAAAUCAAGAGUUGGACGCUCAACCGACUGAGACAUUCAGGUGCCCCUGGCUCACUCGUUGCCUAUUCAGGUCCUCUCCAGGGCUGGAGAGCGGGCAGCUGCAAGCACAUCUGAGCCACACCAGGUGUGGGAGGAAGUCAGGCCCAUCGGCCCAGGCAGGCUGACGGCGGAGGAGGCCCUUGGCCCGGCCACAGGCCUGCCGCCUGCACCCCGAGGACAUAGGAACCAUCUGCUGCACCAGCUCCUUUGGCCCUGUGACAAGGUGAACAUUUAGUUCCUGACAAGGGUCACGGGUCACUCUAUACCAAGAAUCCAGGCUGUGACAAAGAUUGCUUUAUUAAAUUUUGCACCCAGGGUCAGUUUCAGGCCUGACGAGGGGCAAGGCUGAGCCCAGGAAUGUC